rnacentral:rRNA from 1 species
GAAAUAGAACCUGAAACCGUGUGCUUACAAGUAGUCAGAGCCCGUUAAUGGGUGAUGGCGUGCCUUUUGUAGAAUGAACCGGCGAGUUACGAUUUGAUGCAAGGUUAAGCAGUAAAUGUGGAGCCGUAGCGAAAGCGAGUCUGAAUAGGGCGUUUAGUAUUUGGUCGUAGACCCGAAACCAGGUGAUCUACCCUUGGUCAGGUUGAAGUUCAGGUAACACUGAAUGGAGGACCGAACCGACUUACGUUGAAAAGUGAGCGGAUGAACUGAGGGUAGCGGAGAAAUUCCAAUCGAACCUGGAGAUAGCUGGUUCUCUCCGAAAUAGCUUUAGGGCUAGCCUCAAGUGAUGAUUAUUGGAGGUAGAGCACUGUUUGGACGAGGGGCCCCUCUCGGGUUACCGAAUUCAGACAAACUCCGAAUGCCAAUUAAUUUAACUUGGGAGUCAGAACAUGGGUGAUAAGGUCCGUGUUCGAAAGGGAAACAGCCCAGACCACCAGCUAAGGUCCCAAAAUAUAUGUUAAGUGGAAAAGGAUGUGGCGUUGCCCAGACAACUAGGAUGUUGGCUUAGAAGCAGCCAUCAUUUAAAGAGUGCGUAAUAGCUCACUAGUCGAGUGACACUGCGCCGAAAAUGUACCGGGGCUAAACAUAUUACCGAAGCUGUGGAUUGUCCUUUGGACAAUGGUAGGAGAGCGUUCUAAGGGCGUUGAAGCAUGAUCGUAAGGACAUGUGGAGCGCUUAGAAGUGAGAAUGCCGGUGUGAGUAGCGAAAGACGGGUGAGAAUCCCGUCCACCGAUUGACUAAGGUUUCCAGAGGAAGGCUCGUCCGCUCUGGGUUAGUCGGGUCCUAAGCUGAGGCCGACAGGCGUAGGCGAUGGAUAACAGGUUGAUAUUCCUGUACCACCUAUAAUCGUUUUAAUCGAUGGGGGGACGCAGUAGGAUAGGCGAAGCGUGCGAUUGGAUUGCACGUCUAAGCAGUAAGGCUGAGUAUUAGGCAAAUCCGGUACUCGUUAAGGCUGAGCUGUGAUGGGGAGAAGACAUUGUGUCUUCGAGUCGUUGAUUUCACACUGCCGAGAAAAGCCUCUAGAUAGAAAAUAGGUGCCCGUACCGCAAACCGACAC